rnacentral:rRNA from 1 species
AGGUCAAGCUACAAAGGGCGCAUGGUGAAUGCCUUGGCAUCAGGAGCCGAUGAAGGACGUGAUAAGCUGCGAUAAGCUUCGGGUAGGCGCACAUAGCCAGAGAUCCGGAGAUUUCCGAAUGGGGAAACCCGCAUGAGAAACCUCAUGCAUCGUAAAGUGAAUACAUAGCUUUAUGAAGGAACACCUAGGGAACUGAAACAUCUAAGUACCUAGAGGAAGAGAAAGAAAAAUCGAUUUUCUUAGUAGCGGCGAGCGAAAAGGAAAGAGCCCAAACCAGAGAUUUAUCUCUGGGGUUGCGGACAGAACAUAACGUGAAAUUAUGAUUAACCGAACACAACUGGAAAGUUGGACCGUAGGAGGUAAUAGUCCUGUAAGUAAAAGUCAUAAUGAUCAGUUCUGCACCAGAGUACCACGAGACACGUGAAACCUUGUGGGAAGCAGGGAGGACCACCUCCCAAGGCUAAAUACUACCUGAUGACCGAUAGUGAAGCAGUACCGUGAGGGAAAGGUGAAAAGAACCCCGGGAGGGGAGUGAAAUAGAACCUGAAACCAUGUGCUUACAAGCUGUGGGAGCACUUUAUAUGUGUGACCGCGUACUUUUUGUAGAACGGGCCAACGAGUUACGACAGUAAGCAAGGUUAAGUACUUAAGGUAUGGAGCCGUAGUGAAAGCGAGUCUUAAAUGGGCGUUAAGUUUUCUGUCGUAGACCCGAAACCGGGCGACCUACCCAUGAGCAGGAUGAAGCGAAAGUAAAAUUUCGUGGAGGUCCGAACCCACGAGCGUUGAAAAGCUCGGGGAUGACUUGUGGGUAGCGGUGAAAUUCCAAUCGAGCCCGGAGAUAGCUGGUUCUCCCCGAAAUAGCUUUAGGGCUAGCCUCAAGGUUGAGAAAUACGGAGGUAGAGCACUGAAUAUCCUAGGGGGCAUUGCGCUUACCGAAGAUUAUCAAACUCCGAAUGCCGUUAUUUUAUACUUGGGAGUCAGACUGUGGGUAAUAAGAUUCAUAGUCGAGAGGGCAACAGCCCAGAUCGUCAGCUAAGGUCCCUAAAUGUAAGUUAAGUGGUAAAGGAUGUGGGAUUGCAUAGACAACCAGGAUGUUGGCUUAGAAGCAGCCACUCAUUUAAAGAGUGCGUAAUAGCUCACUGGUCGAGUGAUCCUGCGCCGAAGAUUACCGGGGCUAAAACUUACUACCGAAGCUACGAUAUCAUUUAUGAUAGGUAGGGGAGCUUCCUAUGCAGGCUGAAGCAUGACCGUAAGGACAUGUGGACAGUAUAGGAGUGAGAAUGUUGGCAUGAGUAGCGAGACGUGGGUGAGAAUCCCACGGGCCGUAAACCCAAGGUUUCCAGGGGAAGGUUCGUCCGCCCUGGGUUAGUCGGGACCUAAGCCGAGGCCGAAAGGCGUAGGUGAUGGACAACAGGUUGAGAUUCCUGUACCACCAAUAAUCGCUUGAGAGAAGGAAUGACACAGUAGGAUAAGCUAACCACACUGUUGGUUAUGUGUGGCUAAGUACUGAGGCAGUCAAGGUAGGCAAAUCCGCCUUGAUAAUGCUGGGGUACGAUGGGGAGCGAAAUUAAGUAGCGAAGUAGCUGAUUUCACACUGUCGAGAAAAGUUUCUAUCGAGAUUAAAGGUGCCCGUACCGCAAACCGACACAGGUGGGUGAGGAGAGUAUCCUAAGGCCAGCGAGAGAACUGUUGUUAAGGAACUCGGCAAAAUGACCCCGUAACUUAGGGAGAAGGGGUGCCACGUUAGGGUUAACGCCCGAGGUGGCCGCAGAGAAUAGGCCCAAGCGACUGUUUACCAAAAACACAGGUUUCUGCUAAGUCGCAAGACGAUGUAUAGGAGCUGACGCCUGCCCGGUGCUGGAAGGUUAAGGGGAUCUGUUAGGAUUUAUCCGAAGCAGUGAACUUAAGCCCCAGUAAACGGCGGCCGUAACUAUAACGGUCCUAAGGUAGCGAAAUUCCUUGUCGGGUAAGUUCCGACCCGCACGAAAGGCGUAACGAUUUGGGCACUGUCUCAACAACAGACUCGGUGAAAUUGUAAUCCCGGUGAAGAUGCCGGGUACCUGCGACAGGACGGAAAGACCCCAUGGAGCUUUACUGUAGCUUGACAUUGAAUUUUGGUGCUACAUGUACAGGAUAGGUGGGAGGCUAUGAAGUCGGGACGCCAGUCUCGGCGGAGCCAUCCUUGGGAUACCACCCUUGUAGUACUGAGAUUCUAACCAGAUACCUUGAAUCAGGUAUUGGGACACUGUCAGGUGGGCAGUUUGACUGGGGCGGUCGCCUCCCAAAGAGUAACGGAGGCGCUCAAAGGUUCUCUCAGCACGGUCGGAAAUCGUGCGUAGAGUGUAAAGGCAGAAGAGAGCUUGAUUGCAAGACAUACAGGUCGAGCAAGGACGAAAGUCGGACUUAGUGAUCCGGUGGUUCCGCAUGGAAGGGCCAUCGCUCAACGGAUAAAAGCUACCCUGGGGAUAACAGGCUUAUCUCCCCCAAGAGUCCACAUCGACGGGGAGGUUUGGCACCUCGAUGUCGGCUCAUCACAUCCUGGGGCUGUAGUCGGUCCCAAGGGUUGGGCUGUUCGCCCAUUA